rnacentral:rRNA from 1 species
CAACAGGGAUUGCCCCAGUAAUGGCGAAUGAAGCGGCAAGAGCCCAAAUUUGAAAUCGGGCAACCGAGUUGUAAUUUGGAGACGGGACACUAGAGAGGAGGAAGGCGAUUAAGUGCCUUGGAACAGGCUGCCGUAGAGGGUGAGAGCCCCGUGAAUCGCUGGAGACCGAUCAAUUAGUGCCCGCCGAAGAGUCGAGUUGUUUGGGAAUGCAGCUCUAAGCGGGUGGUAUAUUCCAUCUAAGGCUAAAUAUUAGCGAGAGACCGAUAGCAAACAAGUACAGUGAUGGAAAGAUGAAAAGAACUUUGGAAAGAGAGUGAAAUAGUACGUGAAAUUGUUGAAAGGGAAGGGUAUUUGAUCCGACAUGGUGUUUAGCAGCGGCCCGUUCCUCGUGGAUGGGUGCACCUGGUUUACACUGGGCCAGCAUCGGUUCUGGGAGCCAUAUACGGGGUUCGUGAAUGUGGCCCUUCGAUUCUGUCGGAGGGUGUUAUAGCGCGGACAUCUUGUGGCUAGCCGGGACCGGGGACUGC